rnacentral:lncRNA from 1 species
GGAGGAGUCAGGGGAGUAAAAACGAGGCUGGCAUUCUGGACUUGCAUAGUCGAGAGAGCUACUGGUGUGAGGAAGCUGAUGGAAACCCAGCGCUGGCUUUCCAGGAAGAACCUCAUCCUACAACUCCCUCUCCUCCUUUUGAAUGGUUUCUCAAUUACUUCGGCAGGAAAUGAGUACGCACUUGGAAUGAGGACAAGGAGAAACUUUUAGCCUGAGAAGACAGAAUACAGAGGUCAAGAGAAUUUGUGUUGAUAACCACAAUUGUUCUGAUACAACUUUCCUGG